rnacentral:rRNA from 1 species
UACGGGGGGGGUAAGCGUUGUUCGGAAUUACUGGGCGUAAAGGGCUCGUAGGCGGCCAACUAAGUCAUACGUGAAAUCCCUCAGCUUAACUGGGGAACUGCGUCUGAUACUGGAUGGCUUGGAUUCGGGAGAGGAAUGCGGAAUUCCAGGUGUAGCGGUGAAAUGCGUAGAUAUCUGGAGGAACACCGGUGGCGAAGGCAGCUCUCUGGGACGGUACUGACGCUGAGACGCGAAAGCGUGGGGAGCGAACAGG